GUUUUUAUCAUGAAUAGCUCUUGGGUUUUAUCAAUGAUAUUUUUCCGCAUCUAUUAAUUGGUCGAUUUUCACGUGUUCAUCCUACCUGCAUUCCUGGGAUACCCCCCAGUUGGUCAUGCUUUAUAAUCUUUUCUGUCUUUUUUCUUUUUGAGGGCAAACUGGAAACCAGAGUCGUCAUCUAUUCGUGUAUCUUGGAAAGAUGUCUUGCUUUUUUUUUUUUUUUGAGGAAUAUUGGCCCUGAGCUAACAUCUGUUGCCAAUCUUCCUCUUUUUUAAAAUUUAUUUUUAUUUAAUUUUUGUGUAUUUAUUUUUAAUUUUUCUCCCCAAAACCCCUGUACCUAGUUGUAUAUCCUAGUUGUAGAUCCUUCUAGUUCUUCUGUGUGGGAUGCUGCUGCCGCAUGGCUUGAUGAGUGGUGCUAGGUCCGUACCCAGGAUCCGAACUGGUGAACCCCGGGCUGCUGAAGCAGAGUGUGCGAACUUAACCACUAUGCCACCAGGCUGGCCCCUAUAAUCUUUUUCUAUGCUGUUGGAUUCGGUUUGCUAAUAUUUUGUUGAGGGUUUCUUUGUCAGUGUUCCCGGGAGAUGCUGGUGUGAAGCUGUCCUGUCGUGUCCUGCUGGCUUUGACGUCAGGGUAGACUGACGACGUCUCAUCCACGAGCUCAGGAUGUCUGAACGCAGCACCGCUGACAUUUUGGGCUGAGAGAUUCUGUGGCAUGCAGGGCUGUCCUGCACACUGUAGACUGAGGCUGACACGCAGGUGGACUUGGAGGUGUAAGACGUGUUUUGGAUCAACAGCUGUGAGAGGACAGGGUGGAAGCAGGACGGGCAGAGGCACAAGCUGACUGCAGUGCUGACCCCACCAGCUUUACUGCCUGGGCCAGAGCUCCGGAGGGCGUGUGGCCGUCACAGCUGUCCCAAAUGCUGCUCGGGCUUUUCUUCCUGCCCUGCCCAGGCCCCAGCGUGGCUCCCUGCAGCUGAGGCCCUGAGGCUGGAAGGGUGCACACCACUCUUGUUGAGGGGCAGCUGGGGCUGGCACUUCUGCUCACCCCAUGAAGGCCCUUUCUCUCUGAAGCUUACAGACAAGGAAAAUGAGUUUAGGGCUGUGAAGACAUGAGCUGUGGCUAUGGCAGAGGUGAG
rnacentral:lncRNA from 1 species